GGGCGCUCCCGCGCGCGCCCUCCCGGGUGGGGCCCACAGCCGCAGGAGCCGCAGAGGGCGGCGCUCCCGCACAGGGUGGUUCUACGCCCCCGCGGCUCCCGGCUCCCCCACCAGCCGCCUGGCUUCGCGGGGCUCCGCGGGGCGCCGUCUGGCUGCCGGAGCGGGCCUUUCCUGCGAAGAAGGUUGUGCGUUCAUCGGACGCGCCCCUGCUGGGGAGGUGCCUCCCGCAGCGCACGAACCGGAGGGCGGGCAGGGCUGGGCUUUGCCUGCGCCCGGGGGCGGGCGGCGCUGGGACGGCGGAAGGCCCCUGCCCUCCCGCGGGUUUGGGAUUCCGGGCCCCCUGAGCCUGUUCCCUGUCGGAGACGGAAGGGGCCUCGGAGAUCCCACCCAACCCCCGCCCCUCUUAUCCCAGACUGGGGAAAUGGACGCCCGGAGGGCGGAACUGCAGUAUAAAAAUUGACUGUGGAGGAAAGAACCUAACAGACCAGUAACAAUGGAAGAAAUUGAGAAAGUUAUCAAAAAGCUACCAUCCCCCAAAACACCAGGCCCAGAUGGUGUUACAGGUGAAGUCCUUUAACUUGAAGGAAAAGGUAAUUUUGAUAAGGUUUAAAUUUUACACCCGCCUUGGGAAGGAAAAGUGACAGAUUGUUUUUACAGAGCUAAUGGAACAUGGACGCCUGAACUUGGUAUGAGAUAGUAAUAAAAUUAAAAAUUUGGUAUGUUCUAGUGAUGUG
rnacentral:lncRNA from 1 species